GACUGAUAGUGAGAGGAGCCGGUUCCUUCCCCACCAUUCCCGUACCUUUGUUUCCUCUUCCCCUACCUAGUCUCGAGUCCUGACCGACCAAUCUCGACCUACAUCCCUACUCUUCCACCGCGUGCGCGCGUGGCCUACAAGCCACCGCCAUGCCCAUAGCUCACGACCGCCGGCUGACGCCUCCCCUCAAACCCCUCCACCGUUGCCGGCUUCGCCGUUCCUGUUCAUGCUCAUCGCCUCCCUGCUGUCCCGGUCACGCCCGCAAGCUUUGGCCGUCGGAUUUUGAGGUAGUGUACUGAUGAAGACAGAGAUCGAGGAGGAAGGCACCAGAGGGUCCUGGACUGAGGAGGACAAAUCCCUUUGUGCUUCUGUGUUGGGCUUAGAUGCCUUCACAUAUCUGACGAAAGGUGGAGGUGCCAUAUCUGAAAAUCUCGUAGCAGCGUCUGCGUUGGUGGGCUUGCAAAAUAAACUCCAGGACCUAGUUGAAGCUGAUGGUAAAAGCCUUCGUUGGAACUACGCCAUCUUCUGGCAACUCUCCCACACCAAAUCUGGUGAACUUGUCCUUGGCUGGGGUGAUGGAUCUUGUCGUGAACCCCAUGAUAAUGGAGGUAAUAGCAUCCCAGGUACCCUAACUUGCAUCCAAUGUGAUGAUCUAGUCCUAAACUUGCAAAACUAGACCAAUCCAUACCUCAA